GCCUACCAAGCCAACAAUCGAAAGCCAAGUUUGACAGAUCAUAUGGCCACAUUGGGAAUGAGAUAUCCCAAGUAGAGAACUCUACCAGCAGUCGAGAAUAUUAGUCAAUGCUCGCAAGAGUGAACUAGCUAACUGGAAUCAUGAGUGUGUCACUCGUGAAUUGUAUAAGGAAAAAUAAUGAUGUCACUUAUACAAAUAGUGUUGUCAAAAGCUGAGCGUUAAUCAUCCUGAUCAGGCGUAAAGGGUUUGUAGGCAGCUUUAAACAAUUAAACAACAAUUAAAGAUUGAAUCAAAUAGAAGUCAAGAGAAUUUCUAGACUAGGGUUGAUAUCCGUAUAAACUAGGGAGAAUUCUAAUUAGCGAAGGCACUUUUCUAUCUAAUGAUUGACGCUGAGAAACGAAGGGGAGGAUAGACAAUAGGAUUUGAUACCCUGGCAUCCCUCCCUGUAAACGAUGAAUGGUAGUUGCUAGUCAUAAUGAUUAGUGGCGAUGCUAACGCAUUAACCAUUCCGCCUUGUGAGUACGACUGCAAAGUUGAAAACAAAAAAAUUAGUCGGUUUCGGAGCAA
rnacentral:rRNA from 1 species